rnacentral:tRNA from 1 species
GGCAAGUAUAAUUUAAGGGUAGAAUAUCAGUAUGUGAAAUUGAAAGAAUAGGUUCAAAUCCUAUUAUUUGCC